GAUUGUCUUCAAGCUGAGCACACACUGAGCACUGGGCCUGCCUUCUUCCUAACACAGGUUUUUGUAAGCUCCAGACAUUGGAUAAAGCAUUUUGAGGGAUAGGUGAAAACGAAAUCCUGCCCUUUACUCUUGAGAACUCACUCUGCUGUGGGAGGAGAGACAGGCAGCCACCAGGUGCAAUCUCCAACAUGUGCGGGCUUUGGGAAAACACAAUCGGGCAAGUGAAGUUUGUUGCAGACAAGUUCUUCUUCCCCUCUGCCACAACCUCCUCCAAGGUUACAGGGAGAGCACCCUGUCUGUGAAGAAGCAGGUUCUCAUCUGAUACCAAAUCUGCUGGCACCUUGAUCUUGGACUUCCCAGACUCCAGGACUGUGAGUAACACAUUUGUGUUGUUUACAAGCUGCUCAGAAGGUGGUAAAUUGUGAUAGCAGGCCAAAUGGACCACGACAGGGUAUAAGUUGUUUUAUCCCCAUUUUAUAGAAGAGGUAAACAGGCUCAGGAUGAGCACAGGCCAAAACCGCCUAAUGAAUAUUAGCAACCAGAUAUUUCCUGGCACACAGUCCACACCAAGUAAAUGUUUGAGCGGCUGUUGAGCUGAAUCAUUGUUUAAUUUUUGUCUUUCCACCACAGGAAGAUCACAGAUUGACAUCAGCAGGAAAACUUGCCAGGCAGCAGGAGGAUCCAUUUGAAAACUCACGAGAAAAAGGCCCUUGAGGCCUUUUUCCUGGUUAUUGAAGACAUCUUAGGAAACACUUAUGGCACUCUCUCCUGCCCACGGAUCUUGCUUGGGAAAGGAAUGGGGCAAGUGGAAAUGGCCAUUUCUUAGAUGAACACAUCAGGGACUUGCUCCAGUCUGAAGUCUAUACAGAGCUAGGCUUUGAAUCCAGUCACGUAACUGCAUAGCAGCAAAUCAGCCUUUCAGAAUAUUGCAGGAUCAGCAAUGAAAUUCCCUUUGCCAGAGAAAUGGACAAACAAGGAAGCAACAAUGGUGAUGGUGGAAGUGUUCUUCAAGUCUAAGUUUGGGUUCUAGAAACAUCUGGCCAAAUAACGUCUUUCACAACUAAAAUAGAAUAUAAAGAAGCCAUUUGACCUGCCUCAGUUAUCAUGGUCAUCAUGACAAGCUGCAGCAGGACAAAUCAGCUUAACAAUUUCGGAAACUGCCAGAAAUGCUAUUUGGAUUAAUUUUUAUUUGGGAGUUGGCUAAAACUGGUCACAUCCCCAAAUACCUCAAGAUAAACAACAUAGCAUUAUCAUACAAAUCUAUAUUCACCAAAUUAGGUUAAAAUAGGCUGUUUUGAGAAGGUUGAAUUUUUUUAUGGGGAUUAUUCCCAAAAUACGUUUAGACACAAGAAGUUCAACUUUUCUUUUUUCCAUAUUUGAUGUCAAUCAAACUAAUUACUACAUGUUUGGAAUUGCAUUAAUUGUAUUCUUCAGUUACCUAUAAAAUUUAAUUAUCAUGUCUUUAUGGAAAUUUUAAUAUCAGAUAUAAAGAAUGGCAUAUUUAAAAUGACAUUUUAAUACUUUAUAAGAAGCAACAGAAAUUCGACUUCCAAAGCACCUCUCAGUACUACCAUUGGAGUACAUCUAUAUUUUUCUGUCAGAAUACUAUCCAAAGCAAGCAUAAGUAAUCCUUAUUUUCACGAUACAUUGAUGCUCAAAAGUUGUGUGUUCAGCAUGUCUACAAAGUAAAUUACCGUAUAUUUGAAACAGCAGACUAAAACUGAAGUAACAUCUGGAAAAAAUUGCCCUAAUUGCUAGCCCCUAAAUUCAUCUGACCUUGACACUCUCAUCUGAAUUUAAAAGUGUUUUAAAUUCUUAGCCAAUCAAUUCAAGCCAGAACUGAAUUCAUAUGUCUUCAGAAACUGCUAAUCUAGAACAAUGUAACUAGAAUAGAUUCCUGAUCAAACUUUGGUUUUGUUCAGGUAUCCACUCAUUUCCUAGGUGACCCAGAGGCCACAACUCACAACUCCACCCCUUCCCGUGGCUGGUCCAGGCUGUGCAGAUCUUGUAGUCACAAAGUCCUGGCAAUGGGCUGGGGGUGGGAUCUGACCUAGUGCUGACCAACAUGUCAAAAACAGAUGGCUGCAGAACCCUCUGGAAAAGCUUCCCUCAUUCUUAAGGAAUCCUGUGAAGAGAUGGUCUGUUUCUGUCCUGUUCCCUGGAUGUCAAAUGUCUGGGUUUGAGACCCAGAACUCCUGAAGCCAUCUCACAACUACAAGGGGAGCAGAUGUAGCCACUGAGGAUGGCCAAGCAGAGGGAGGGAGGACCUUUCCUGCCAGCAUCGCCAGCGGCUGAAUCACAGCCCAGAACCCCACAGCACCCUAAACGUCCUCUUAACAAAUGUAAUACGUUGUCUUACUGUUUGUGCCUGUGUGAAAAGUCCUCUUUGCUUGCAGUGAAGGCAUCCUAGUUGAUAAACAUGAAAUUUGAAAAUUGGAGAUUUCUUGGAACCAACAUUUCAUUUGUUUCAGUUCAUUUUCGUGGCUCAUCUUUUAAACCCUCUAUUGAAUUGCUUUUAAGAAGAUAUGCUGUAUUAAAAAUUACUCCUAAACUAUUAGUUUUUCUAGAUGGAAGGAUAUUCAAGUAUCAGGUUUUCCUAAAAUGGGUCACAUGAAUAUUUUCUUAAUUGGCUAUUCAACCUGGGCCACAUUUCUUUACAAUUGAUCUCAUGUUUCCCUUAGUGUUAUUUAAAGUGUCAAGUGAAAAAGGCAGUAAAAAAAUGUGUCUUGGUGUUUAUUCCUACAGACUGCUGGACUAAAUUAUUUGUGGUAAUUGAGGCCUAAUUGGCUAUAGGUUUUGUUAAAAUUUGUGAAGUAAUCAUGUUAUCACCCAGCCAGAAUUCCCUGGUUUUGAACUUGGGGACUUAGAUUACUCUUUAAUUGGAC
rnacentral:lncRNA from 1 species